UGUAAAGUUCAAGCUCCGAUUAUGAGGGCGAACCGCGAAUGGCUCAUUAAAUCAGUCAUAAUCUACUUGAUUGUUUAAAGUUUAUAUGGAUAACUGUGGUAAUUCUAGAGCUAAUACAUGCACAAAGGGGGCGACUCUUGAGAGUUAAAAAUGUAAAAGUUUUUAUCUUGGAGAGAGAAGCUCUGCGUUUAUUAGACUAAGACCAAUGGUUAGAGCGCAAGCUCUAAUCCUUAUGAAAUGGUGACUCUGAGUAAAUAAUGGGUGAAAGCCCAUGUUGCUGACCAGGCACACCAAACGAACGCAAGUUCGGCCUGGCAAGUCAAUCGAGUGUCUGCUCUAUCAACUGUGGAUGGUAGGAUAAUUGCCUACCAUGGUAAUGACGGGUAACGGGGAGUUAGGGCUCGACUCCGGAGAACAAGCCUGAGAAACGGCUAGUAGGACUAAGGUCUGCAGCAGGCGCGAAACUUACACAAUGCUAGAUUAACAUUAGCGAUGUAGUGAAGAAAAAUAACGAUAUACUUCCUUUUAAACAAGGUAGUAUAAUUGGAAUGAGGCGAUUUUAAACCAAUUAGCCGAGUAACAAAUGGAGGGCAAGUCUGGUGCCAGCAGCCGCGGUAAUUCCAGCUCCAUUAGCAUACAUUAAAGUUGUUGCGGUUAAAAAGCUCGUAGUUGAAUUUCUAGCGGUUUUUAAUGGUUGAGUUCCAUUAAGGCGUUGGUUGUCUAUUGUUUAAAACUUAAAUGUUUUCAAUCUCCAAUUGCUGGUUCUCAAACUCAUUUCAAAGCCGCUGUUUCGUCACUUAAUCGAGUGCGAAGCAGGUUGGAACAAACUUUAAUAGUUGCAUUUAUGCUAUCUAUUGGUUGUUACAACACGUUUACCUUGAGAAAAUUAGAGUGCUCACAGCAGGCAGUUGGGAUGUAAAAGUCUCUUUAUGCUUGAAUAAUGUUGCAUGGAAUAAUAGAAUACGGCCUCGGUUCUAUUCUGUUGGUCUUAUAGAACAACAAACAAGUUGGUUGAUGUGGCGUUUAAAAGUUUAUAUUAAGUGUGGUUCUAUUGGAAUUUGUAUUCUCAUUGACUUGUUGCCUAGUGGUAAAACAUUAGAGCCUUUCAUGAAAUACUUAAUCUCCAAUUUUACCAUUAAAGCACUUUUUGUUAAACUAGCUCUCACUCCAACUGAGGCAAUGGUUAAAAGAAAUAGUCGCGGCGGCAUCAGUACUGCAUCGUGAGAGGUGAAAUUCUUAGACCGAUGCAAGACUAACUGAAGCGAAAGCGUUUGCCGAGGAUAUUUUCAUUAAUCAAGAACGAAAGUUAGAGGUUCGAAGGCGAUCAGAUACCGCCCUAGUUCUAACCAUAAACGUUGCCAACUAGCAAUUGGGUUGCGAUUCCUUUAAUCGAAGCUUAAAACACUUCGAUCAUUAUGAUCCACCCAGCGGCUCUCGUAGGGAAACCAAAGUGUUUGGGUUCCGGGGGAAGUAUGAUUGCAAAGUUGAAACUUAAAGGAAUUGACGGAAGGGCACCACCAGGAGUGGAGCCUGCGGCUUAAUUUGACUCAACACGGGGAAACUUACUAGAUUAUAACUCUGGAAUGAUUGACAGAUUGAUAGCUCUUUCUUGAUUCAGAGGAUGGUGGUGCAUGGCCGUUCUUGAUUCGUAUUCCGAAACGUCUGCUUAAUUGCGAUAACGAGUGAGACCUCACCCAACUAACUAGUCGUUUUGUGCGCUGUGGAACGCAAAAGUUUGCUUAAGUUUAAGUUGUAUGAUGAAGUGUAAAAACUUUGUUUGCAGCUACCUUUUGUGAAUGUCUCUGCUCGCAAGCGGACUUCUAGAGGGAUAAACGGUGUUUUAGCCGUAAGAAACGAG
rnacentral:rRNA from 1 species